rnacentral:rRNA from 1 species
GACGAACGCUGGCGGCGUGCUUAACACAUGCAAGUCGAACGGAAAGGCCCUGCUUUUGUGGGUUGCUCGAUUGGCGAACGGGGGAGUAACACGUGAGUAACCUGCCCUUGUCUUUGGGAUAACUUCAGGAAACUGGGGCUAAUACCGGAUAGGAGCUCUUGCUGCAUGGUGUGGGUUGGAAAGUUUCGGCGGUUGGGGAUGGACUCGCGGCUUAUCAGCUUGUUGGUGGGGUAGUGGCGUACCAAGGCUUUGACGGGUAGCCGGCCUGAGAGGGUGACCGGGCACAAUGGGCCUGAGAUACGGCCCAGUAUCGUACGGGCGGCAGCAGUGGGGAAUAUUGCACAAUGGGCGGAAGCCUGAUACGGCAACGCCGCGUGCGGGAUGACGGCCUUCGAGUUGAAAACCGAUUUCGACUGUGCCGAAGCGUGAGUGACGGUAAUGGGUAAAGAAGCACCGGCUAACUACGUG